AGUGUGGGGUUUUGGUUUUGAGGGGGUUUUUAGGGUUUGGGACCUGCUCAGAUUGAACGCUGGCGGCAGGCCUAACACAUGCAAGUCGAGCGGAUGAAGAGAGCUUGCUCUCUGAUUCAGCGGCGGACGGGUGAGUAAUGCCUAGGAAUCUGCCUGGUAGUGGGGGACAACGUCUCGAAAGGGACGCUAAUACCGCAUACGUCCUACGGGAGAAAGCAGGGGACCUUCGGGCCUUGCGCUAUCAGAUGAGCCUAGGUCGGAUUAGCUAGUUGGUGAGGUAAUGGCUCACCAAGGCGACGAUCCGUAACUGGUCUGAGAGGAUGAUCAGUCACACUGGAACUGAGACACGGUCCAGACUCCUACGGGAGGCAGCAGUGGGGAAUAUUGGACAAUGGGCGAAAGCCUGAUCCAGCCAUGCCGCGUGUGUGAAGAAGGUCUUCGGAUUGUAAAGCACUUUAAGUUGGGAGGAAGGGCAGUAAAUUAAUACUUUGCUGUUUUGACGUUACCGACAGAAUAAGCACCGGCUAACUCUGUGCCAGCAGCCGCGGUAAUACAGAGGGUGCAAGCGUUAAUCGGAAUUACUGGGCGUAAAGCGCGCGUAGGUGGUUUGUUAAGUUGGAUGUGAAAGCCCCGGGCUCAACCUGGGAACUGCAUUCAAAACUGACAAGCUAGAGUAUGGUAGAGGGUGGUGGAAUUUCCUGUGUAGCGGUGAAAUGCGUAGAUAUAGGAAGGAACACCAGUGGCGAAGGCGACCACCUGGACUGAUACUGACACUGAGGUGCGAAAGCGUGGGGAGCAAACAGGAUUAGAUACCCUGGUAGUCCACGCCGUAAACGAUGUCAACUAGCCGUUGGGAGCCUUGAGCUCUUAGUGGCGCAGCUAACGCAUUAAGUGACCGCCUGGGAGUUGCCCACUGG
rnacentral:rRNA from 1 species